rnacentral:rRNA from 1 species
GAUGAACGCUGGCGGCGUGCCUAAUACAUGCAAGUCGAGCGAACGGACGAGAAGCUUGCUUCUCUGAUGUUAGCGGCGGACGGGUGAGUAACACGUGGAUAACCUACCUAUAAGACUGGGAUAACUUCGGGAAACCGGAGCUAAUACCGGAUAAUAUUUUGAACCUCAUGGUUCAAAAGUGAAAGACGGUCUUGCUGUCACUUAUAGAUGGAUCCGCGCUGCAUUAGCUAGUUGGUAAGGUAACGGCUUACCAAGGCAACGAUGCAUAGCCGACCUGAGAGGGUGAUCGGCCACACUGGAACUGAGACACGGUCCAGACUCCUACGGGAGGCAGCAGUAGGGAAUCUUCCGCAAUGGGCGAAAGCCUGACGGAGCAACGCCGCGUGAGUGAUGAAGGUCUUCGGAUCGUAAAACUCUGUUAUUAGGGAAGAACAUAUGUGUAAGUAACUGUGCACAUCUGGACGGUACCUAAUCAGAAAGCCACGGCGAACUACGU